rnacentral:rRNA from 1 species
UACGUAGGGGGCAAGCGUUGUCCGGAAUUAUUGGGCGUAAAGCGCGCGCAGGCGGUCGAUGAAGUCUGAUGUUUAAUGCCGGGGCUCAACCCCGGUGCGCAUUGGAAACUGGUCGACUUGAGUGUAGGAGAGGAAAGUGGAAUUCCACGUGUAGCGGUGAAAUGCGUAGAUAUGUGGAGGAACACCAGUGGCGAAGGCGACUUUCUGGCCUAUAACUGACGCUGAGGCGCGAAAGCGUGGGGAGCAAACAGGAUUAGAUACCCUGGUAGUCCACGCCGUAAACGAUGAGUGCUAGGUGUUAGGGGUUUCGAUGCCCUUGGUGCCGAAGUUAACACAGUAAGCACUCCGCCUGGGGAGUACGCUCGCAAGAGUGAA